rnacentral:tRNA from 1 species
GCCUGAGUGGCUCAGUGGUUGAGCAUCUGGCUUUGGCUCAGGUCAUGAUCCUGGGGUCCUGGGAUUGAGUCCCUCAUCAGGCU